UACGGAGGGUGCAAGCGUUAUCCGGAUUCACUGGGUUUAAAGGGAGCGUAGGUGGCUUUGUAAGUCAGUGGUGAAAGCUCGGAGCUUAACUCCGGAACUGCCAUUGAUACUGCUUAGCUUGAAUCGGUUCGAGGCGGAUGGAAUGUGACAUGUAGCGGUGAAACGCUUAGAUAUGUUACAGAACACCAAUUGCGAAGGCAGUUCGCCAGACCCGUAUUGACACUGAGGCUCGAAAGCGUGGGGAUCAAACAGGAUUAGAUACCCUGGUAGUCCACGCCCUAAACGAUGUAAACUCGACAUUAGCGAUAUACAGUUAGUGUCUUAGCGAAAGCGUUAAGUUUACCACCUGGGAAGCACGACCGCAAGGUUGAA
rnacentral:rRNA from 1 species